rnacentral:lncRNA from 1 species
CAGAGACACACACAGAUAGAUAAGAACACACGGACAUACAUAGGUCUCUCCAGUAAGGAGCUAACAUUACACUGCAGCUCAUUUUCAGGUUAGCUUUAAAGAAGCCGACUUAAAGUCAUCCAAAGGAAGAGGAAAGAUGUGAGUCUUGAAGAUCUGAACCCGGAUGAGAUGUCCUUAGUGCUAAACAGUGCAUGGAAGUCAAAAAGAGCCCGAGAAGCCCGCAGGUCUGUCACUCAAGCUUCCCUGACGUCACUUACUGAGGAGGAAGUUGGAGCAGAGCAUCAGGAACAUCAUCGAUCAGCGCUGGAGGAGCAGUCCAAUCAGAUGCAUGGCUGCAGUGUCUCCGCCCCCAGCCUGUGUAUGAUGCAGCUGAUGCCUAGAAGCUCCGCCCCUCGCCCACGCUCCUAC